UACGGAGGGGGCUAGCGUUGUUCGGAAUUACUGGGCGUAAAGGGCGCGCAGGCGGCUGCUCAAGUCAGGCGUGAAAGGCCUGGGCUCAACCCGGGAAUUGCGCUUGAGACUGGGCUGGCUUGAGUGCGGGAGAGGAUGGUGGAAUUCCCAGUGUAGAGGUGAAAUUCGUAGAUAUCGGGAGGAACACCAGUGGCGAAAGCGGCUACCUGGCCCAUUCUUGACGCUGAGGCGCGAAAGCUAGGGGAGCAAACGGG
rnacentral:rRNA from 1 species